ACGUAGGGUGCAAGCGUUGUCCGGAUUUAUUGGGCGUAAAGAGCUCGUAGGCGGUUAGUCACGUCGGAUGUGAAAACUCAGAGCUUAACUCUGAGCCUGCAUUCGAUACGGGCUGACUAGAGUGUUGUAGGGGAGACUGGAACUCCUGGUGUAGCGGUGAAAUGCGCAGAUAUCAGGAAGAACACCGGUGGCGAAGGCGGGUCUCUGGGCAACUACUGACGCUGAGGAGCGAAAGCGUGGGGAGCAAACAGGAUUAGAUACCCUGGUAGUCCACGCCGUAAACGGUGGGCGCUAGGUGUGGGGAACAUUCCACGUUCUCCGUGCCGCAGCUAACGCAUUAAGCGCCCCGCCUGGGGAGUACGGCCGCAAGGCUA
rnacentral:rRNA from 1 species